UCCUGCAAAUGGCAGAUGAGAGGAGUCACAGGUUUUCUCUCCUCUUAAUUAUUCAGAUCUUGGCACCUGAGGAGCAGACCAGCUGGGGUUAGGAAUCCAAAGCAGGGCAGGAUCCGUCCACACACUCGUGUGUUUAUUUAUUUAUGCAGCUCCAGCAAAGAAAAUUAAAAACAGGGCUGGCCCCUGGCUGGGAGAUGGAGCCUGACACUGCAUAUGCGUCUGUGAGACUCAGUCUGGUCCCGGAUGCCCGACUCCUCGAGGUCUGUCUGUGCACUGGGCCAAGGCCCUGCUGGCCACAGAACAUAGGCGGUGAGGGCUGCAUAGGGAGGGGCUGUGGUUUCAGAGGCUGACGCAGCUGGCUGGCCUUCUGCUCCUUGUCUCCCGGAGGCUCCCUGCCCUCAGCAAUAGAAGUGCCCUGGUCUUUGCCAGAACCAAACAGUGGUCACAGCUAGGACCUGCACCGGGGGUCCUGAAUCCACCUUGCCCGGUGCCCAGAUGCCCCUCCUGCUCUCUGGAUGGAGCCCACCCUCAACAAGCACUCCGGCAGGACCAGGUUCCAUGAAGACAAUGCCACUUGGAAUCUGAUAACAAUUGCGGGUCCAGAUGACUCUCGUGGGCAGCAUCCUCCAUGUGGACUCAGCCAUCCAGGUGGCCUCUAUCCUGCAGUGUCCACCUCACAGCUCUGGCACCAUCAUGGUGCAGUGCCAAUGUCCUCUUACCUGGAACAGUGCCUGGCACACAGCAAGCAUCGUAACUAUUUGUUGAAUAAUUAGUGAAUACAUGACUGGCCGAAUGAGUGAGGGCCAUGCAGUGCCUCUCCCAUUAUGUCAGGACUCUUCUUGGAAUGCUGACUGUGUUUUGUAGAGUGCAGCCCUAGGAAGAUGGGAGACCCAGGAACUGGCCCUGUCUCUGCUGAUAGCUCCGUCAGCUUGAAUGAGGUCUAAGCCCCACGGACACUCUGCAUAAAGAAGCAUGCAUGUUGUGUAGGUAACGGGGUUGGAACUGUUGUGGUCAUUGCUUCAUGAGGGAAACUAGAUAGGGAUAGCACCAGGGAUGGCAGGCUGGAGCCUGGGGAGGGCGGAUCACAGAGAAGCUCUGUGACGUCGUCUGGGGUUAGGAACCCAUGAAAAGACUGAACUUCCUAUUAGGCAGGGAGAAAAUGGGGAGGGUCUGGCUUGAUGUCUCUUGGAGAAAUCUGGAUUACACAAAUAUGUGAGGCCAGGAAACCAACAAGGAAAACAUGACCUGUCUUUGCUGAUAAUGAUUGUCCUAUCUGCAUAAACUCACAAGGAUGGAAUAAGAAUAAAACCAACAACACACUUCCGCCAAGACUUGACAGUUUGCAAAGCAUUUUAAAAUACAAAGCCAACUCUGUUAAUGGUAACUUGGAUAGAUGUUCCAGCUUCAGUCCAAAUAUCUUACAGAUAUUUACUUUAGUCCUCAUAGCAUGACUAUCUUUAUUUCACAAUGAGGAAACUGAGCUAAGUAUUUUACCCGAGGUUUUACAGUUAGUAGCCAAGACAGGAUUCGAACCCAGGUAUCUGGCUCUAGAAGCCACACACUGAACUCUGCAUCCAGCAGCCUCUGCAGAAAACACAAUAAAACUCUUCUGAUGAUGCCAGUGGCUGGAAUUCCACCACUUAUACAGAACAAUAGGGCUGGAGUUGCUCUGAGAGAAUCAUGUCUAUUUCGAGGAAGUUGAGGAAAAAUAUACCUAAAUUUUGUUUUGGUGUAGUCUAAUCCUACAGUAUAAAGAACUUUUGUAUUGCAUUUGAAUUCUUUUAUUUAUUCUUUCAUGAGCAAAAACUUUUUGCACACUUACUGUGUUCCAGGUUCUGUUCUAAGCUUGUGCAGUGCAUGCUACCUCAUGCAACCUUUGCAACAACUCUCCCUGCUAGGGGGCCACUCUUUCCUAAAGCAGGCAGGGGCCCAGAACAGGCUGUUCCAGGCCUCCUCUAUGCCUUAUUAUCACAGAGAGAGCAUAGAAUAUUCCUCAAGCAACAAGAAAGAGCAAGGAAAUACAUGUUCAAUGCAGACAUCCACGUUUGUGUCAUCUCAGAGGAAGGAACAGGAUCACCCGUUCCCUCCAAGGGAAAAUAUACCCUUUUCUUUGCUUUUAUUGGUUUUAAGGCCUGGGACAGUAGUUCUCCACCUUCUUGGGUCACAUUGCCUUUCACUCUGCCAGAUUCUGUUUCCUUUCUGUGACACGAGGAUAGAAAUAACACGCAUGGCAAUGGAUUGGGGUGGUAUUCCAACGAAAUAAUGUAACGAUGGCCCUUUGUGAAGUGGAAUUCAUACAUUCAUUCACUCAUGCAUUCAACACAUUUACUGAGGGCCUAUUAUGUGCCAAGCUCCUCUUGAAGUCUCUGAGGCCUGAAGAGUGAAGACAGAAUAGAUGCUAAAGGCAGAUUUCUGGAACAAACUGCCUGGGGUCAAAUACUAGCCUCAUUACUCACUAACUAUGGGAAAGUUAAGUAUAAAACCUGACUCAAAGGGUUAGUGUCAAGUUUAAAGAAGUUAAUAUCUGUAAAACAUUUAAAAUAGUUCCUGGCAUAGAGUAAGUUCCAGAAAUCCUUUGAUAAUAAAAAAAUAUUUUUGAAAAGAACAACUAAGAAAAAUUACAUUCAGUAUUUCUACCUAAGGAGAUAUGGCUGUAUAUUUUACCUUAAAAAUAUCAGAGAUGUUAAAAUAAUAGAACAAUAAAUAGAAUAAUAAACAUCUGUAUAACUUUUUAAAAAGAUUUAAAGCCCACAUUUUGUGUUUUUUUUUUUUUUUUUUUUUUUUUUUAUGGAAACAGAGUCUUGCUCUGUCACCCAGGCUGGAGUGCAGUGGCGCCAUCUCGCUCCACCUCCCAGGUUCAUGCCAUUCUCCUGCCUCAGCCUCCAGAGUAGCUGGGACUACAGGUGCACGCCACCAAGCCCAGUAAAGCCCACAUUUUCUAAAUGUGAAAUAAAAUUUUAAUUCUUAAUCAUUAGCCAUCAAGAACACACAGAUAUCUAGAAUGCCCUAACUUAUUAAUGUCUUAAUGUAUUAGUUCAAGUCUCAAAAGCUUAAAGCAAUAAAAUGUAUUACCUGCUGAAGUAAACCCUCAUAUACCUGUGAUAGCAGUUCCUCCACCAUCAAGAAUCUGGAAAAAGGAGGAAAGCCUAGAAAACAACAACAACAACAAAACACUGCUUCUUAAAGAUAUCAACCCCAAAGUGACACCUAUCACUUCCUCUUUCAUGUCACUGGCCACCCCCACCUUCACUGAGAAGAAAAAGGUUAAUUCGACUACACACCUGACUUCACUGUUUGAUCAUCUGAUUGUGGACAAGUCACUUAAUUUGACUGUAUUUCAGUUUCCUUGUUUGUUAAAUGAAAACAGAAACAGUGCUUUGCUCAUGGCAUUGUCAUGAGACUUAAAUCAUACACAAAAAUGUUAGCUAUAAUGACAAUGUGAUCUACCCACAGAAAAUAUAAAGUAUUAUUUGUGUGUGCAUGUCUGUUUAAUGUGAGUAGUAUCAGACUACAUUUCCAAUGCCGAUAAAAAUGUGUGAUCUGACUGAAA
rnacentral:lncRNA from 1 species